rnacentral:rRNA from 1 species
GUCGUAGGAGGACCAACUGGGAUUGCCUCAGUAACGGCGAGUGAAGCGGCAAUAGCUCAAAUUUGAAAUCUGGCUCUUUCAGAGUCCGAGUUGUAAUUUGUAGAGGAUGCUUCGGCUUACGCCCCGGUCUAAGUUCCUUGGAACAGGACGUCACAGAGGGUGAGAAUCCCGUACGUGGCCGGCGGCCUCCGCCAUGUGAAGCUCCUUCGACGAGUCGAGUUGUUUGGGAAUGCAGCUCUAAAUGGGAGGUAAAUUUCUUCUAAAGCUAAAUACUGGCCAGAGACCGAUAGCGCACAAGUAGAGUGAUCGAAAGAUGAAAAGCACUUUGGAAAGAGAGUUAAAAAGUACGUGAAAUUGUUGAAAGGGAAGCGCUUGCAACCAGACUUGCCCGCGGUUGUUCAGCCGGUCCUUCGGCCGGUGCACUCUUCCGCGGUCAGGCCAGCAUCAGUUUAGGCGGUCGGAUAAAGGCUCUAGGAAUGUAGCUCUCUUCGGGGAGUGUUAUAGCCUGGGGCGCAAUACGGCCCGCCUGGACUGAGGUCCGCGCUUCGGCUAGGAUGCUGGCGUAAUGGUUGUAAGCGGCCCGUCUUGAAACACGGACCAAGGAGUCUAACAUCUAUGCGAGUGUUUGGGUGUCAAACCCGUGCGCGUAAUGAAAGUGAACGGAGGUGGGAACCUUAGGGUGCACCAUCGACCGAUCCUGAUGUCUUCGGAUGGAUUUGAGUAAGAGCAUAGCUGUUGGGACCCGAAAGAUGGUGAACUAUGCCUGAAUAGGGUGAAGCCAGAGGAAACUCUGGUGGAGGCUCGCAGCGGUUCUGACGUGCAAAUCGAUCGUC